rnacentral:rRNA from 1 species
GACGGCCACACUGGGACUGAGACACGGCCCAGACUCCUACGGGAGGCAGCAGUGGGGAAUAUUGCGCAAUGGACGAAAGUCUGACGCAGCGACGCCUCGUGAGGGACGAAGGUCUUCGGAUUGUAAACCUCUUUCAGCAGGGACGAAGCGAAAGUGACGGUACCUGCAGAAGAAGCACCGGCUAACUAUGUGCCAGCAGCCGCGGUAAUACAUAGGGUGCAAGCGUUGUCCGGAUUUAUUGGGCGUAAAGAGUUCGUAGGCGGUUUCUCGCGUCGGAUGUGAAAACUCAGGGCUCAACCCUGAGCCUGCAUUCGAUACGGGGAAACUUGAGGACGGCAGGGGAGA